rnacentral:lncRNA from 1 species
AGAUUUUCUUGUACACUGGGAUCAGUUAACCUACCUGACUUCUCCAGGGCUGCUCACAAUUCUGUAGGCAUCCGCCACAGCUCUCUUAGUUUUCUUAGGUCAAAGAAUCCUGCUGUACUUAUUUGGUCCUUGCAAUGGGCUUUCCCACACCUUUGAUCACAGCCACUGUCUUCUCCAAACCUUCUUCAAAUCUAUUCUAAUCUCUUUGAGAGGAAGGGACCUGUAAAGGAAGCUGGCACGCAGGCUCUUGACUCCUUUGGUGCGUGGCACCUUGACAAACAUCAGCUAUCAGGACCAAGGGGCAAUUGAAAUAGAAUAAUUGAUUGACCUCCUCAUGGGCCACAUGCUAGUACAAAAGGAAUCCAUUUUCCGAAAAGGAGAUGUUUUGAUUUUAUUAAGCAUGGUAUUUUUAGAAUGAGAAAUUUCAUUUGAAAUUAUCAUUCUGAAGCAAGACAAAAGCAUCUUCAUUUUGAUUUGAAAUACAAAUCAGUAUAUUAAACUUGAAAUUGAGUAGUGAAGGUCUUGAGUAGUGAAGGAAAAACUUCCUCGGGCUCUUGAGGGAGGGAGGAUCUUGAAUUCUGGCAGAAAAAAAGAUGAAGAAGAUGAUUGGGAAUCUCCUCUCUCUCACGGGGUUGGCCGCCUUCCACCUAAAGUUUUCAUCAGCCCUUCGGUCUCCUUCCCAUCCCUGAUGGUUCCAGAAAGGUACGCAGUCAUGGAAAACGCCCAGGAACCCAUUGAAGUCAUCCUGUGUGCACAGCACAGAGCCCCUUCUUCCCUGCUGGCAGCUCCUGCCCUGAUCGUGGGAGCAGAACACAGAUGUGGGUCCUUCCACAACAUAUCUGCAUGCAUUGUCCCCAUCUUCCUGCUCUACGGAGGACAGUGUGGUUGGGCAGGGUUGUGCUCAGCUCAAAGCCCUCUGCUCUCCAAGCAGCUCUGCACCACAGAUGAAGAUUUCACCUUUGUCAUAGAGACAUGAAGAUCCAGCAGAUGUUCUCUGCAGGUUUCCAUGCCCUCAAGAU